ensembl:snRNA U6 U6 spliceosomal RNA
GUGCUCGCCUCUGCAGUACUUAUACUAAAACUGGAACAAUACAGAGAAGAUGAGCACGGCCCCUCUGCAAGGCUGACAUGCAAACUUGUGAAGCGUUCCGUAUUUUU